CAGAAGAAGCAGGCUGAGGCACUGAGUGAAAACCUAUGUGGAUGUCCUGCUGCCUUUUCCUUGUGGAGGGUAGAUCAUUCCCAACUCUGCCUGAAACUUUGAUGCCUUAUUGGAGGAAGAGAAAGGUAACUCCCUUGUUGAGCCAUAGAGCUCUUAGUUUUUCUUUCUUAAAAAAAAAAUCACUCUUCUUUCAAACACCAUUAAAUUAGUCCAGUUAUGUACACUGGGCUUGUAUUGCAUGGUUUAUAUAAAAGCUAAGUUCUUUCUUUAAGAUUGGAGCCCUCCGUGUGAGUGAUUUCAGGAUAAAAGGCCUUAGAGGAUUAGACACAUUAUUCGUUUGUAAAACUGAUUGCUCAAGUGAUACAGCCCUAGGGCUGCCCCCUUAUUGUAGCUUCUUGAACACUGUCAAACUGUCAGACUUGGGUUGGUGGUUAUUUUAUCUCGCAAACAACCAAAACCAGAUUUACAUUGUAAGUAGAUACUAGCGUGGCUUUUGUCCUUCCUAUAUCUAGGCCCUGAAUACUUCAGAGCCAGAUUAAAUGCUUUGCUCUAUUUUUUCAUAGAUUUGGGCUUCGACCAAACAUACAAGUUGAGCCUGUUGACUUCUCUCUUUGUGGAUGCACACGUGCGUCUCUGCGUAUAUUUGUGCAUGCUUUCCCGAAUAAGUCCUCUUUUAAAACUCAGCCUUUCAUCAUUUUAGAAAUGAUUUGCUCUUUUACAGCUUGUACUUUUUAUGGUUCUUAGAGGAUCACUGCAGCAAAUAUAUUUGGCAGAAAUUGAGCACACAAGCCCUUCCCCAGAACUCAGUACUGAAUUUGUUCAGUUCCCAUCUUAAAAACUUGAAACUCCUUUGACUUUUCCUGUGAUGUGCUUAUUUCUGAUCUGAAACUGUAGUUCAAAGCUAGACUUGGUAAUCAUUCACGUCAAGAAAGGAAUGGAUUGCUCAAAAAAGAAGUCAGACUCUAAAAAUAGCCUCCAUACCGAGGCCCACUUUUCUACCUAGGGAAUCAAGACAGAAAUAUUUCCAGGAUUGAAAUGACAUAGUUCAAGUGACGCAACCAUUUGGCUGCCUGCUAUUUUUCUCUUUUCUGCCAGAAGGAAAAUAUAUAAUGUAGAAAAAUUCCCCUAGAGUUGUUAAAAUAAUCACUGAAAUAACCUUUGGUGCUUAGUAUGGUACCCUGGAAAACUUGGAUCUCUAGAAUGGUUCAUUUCAGAGCUUUUCCAGAUAGCCAAGUUUUUAUUAGAAAAUUGGUUGGUAUAGACGGUGCUCACUGUGACUGUUCAGUGCAUGAUGAGAAUCCUUCUUUACAGAGAUAAAAAGUGUGAAGAGAAUUGCUGAGAAGUAACCAUUCAUUCCCUUCUGCAUUUGCCUAGUGUGCUGUGUAAUUAAAUGAGCUGAUAAAAUUUACAAGAAAUAAAGCUUUAUGCAAUUACAAAUAGAUGACAUGACUUUUUAAAAGGUUUUGCCCAUAUUUUUCACACACGCUCUACCUUUAGCCUUCUCUGCUUUCACACAGAUGCUGAAAAACAAAAGAGUUAAUUAGAAACCAUUCCUUUUCUCUCUUUCUGGUACAGAGAAGGCUUCCACUAAGUAUGUGCUGAAUAAAUGACCCAGUCUGAAAGUUUUAAUUUAUUACACAGUAUAUUCAUAGAACUGUAACUGUUACAACCUCUAGUUUGAUAGAUGUAGCUGUUUUUGUUUUUUUAAGUUGAGAUUAUAUUAAUAUCUGUCACUUGGGUUGCCAGCCUUUUAGAAGAAAAUUUGGGGUUUAUAUUAGAAUAGGUUUUAGGUUCAGUAGCCUGUAUCCUUUUUUACUGCCCUGGGACAACAGCAAAUAUUCACCUAAAUUCAUUCUGUGGUGUAACACUUUAGAAGUAUACCAGUUCUUCCUUGCAAAUAACAACAAAAAGCUCUGAACAACUUAAUCACAGAGAAAAAAAAAGCUUUUAUUGGAGGUAUAUUGGGCAGCUCAUUGGCUGAUAAGGUAGCAGAAGCAAAAGGAUACUUGGCAGCCCGGAGCUUAGCUGAGAUGGAGCCAUAAGGACAGUUUUAUUAGGAUGCCACCACAGCUCGGCUGCCAGUGGACACAUGAAUUCGUGAGACUAGCACCUCUGCCAUAAAUAACAUCUCACCAUCCCUGGGGAAUUGGUCACUCCCUUAAGACUCAAACACUGUGGCAAGUGCAUCUAAUUGGCUGAGUCCAGGUUAUGUUCCAGGGAACAGGGGAGAAAGCUCUGCCAAUCUUGGGAUUCCCCCACAUGCGAUGAGUACUUUCUCUGUACCUUUAUGUUAAUUAUUUGGAAGGGAAAAAGAUUGAAUGGGACGGGACCUGUGAAAGAUCCCUGUGGCAUACCGCUAGAGACUGCCUUCCAGAAAAAUAUGGGAGGUAUAUGUAUUAUAAGUAUACAUCUAUUGACUGGCUAAAGAAGAAAAGAUGACUAGGGUAUGCCAUGCUAAGGAGUUUAGAUUUUGUGCUGGAAGUUUAAAUAGGGGAGAGAAGGGAUGUGUGUUCAGAAGGCUUUUGUAGGUAGCAGCUGUAGCAAUGAUCUAGGUGAGAAAAAAAUAAGUACAAGCCAAAGCAGUGUCAGAGAGAUGGAGUGAAAGAGAAACAUUCAAGUGAUUAAGCAGAUUGAUUGGGCAAGGGAAGUCAUCAGUGACCCAGUAAGCACAAUUUCUGUGGCGGGGAGAGGCAGGUGGAAACCUGAUUGCUGUGGGUUGAAAUGUGGAAGAAAGUGAUUAUAGAUGACUCUCUUACUGGAUUGGAAUCGAGAGAAAAGAUAGGAUCUGGAAGGCAACAGCGGGUGAAGGGAGGUUUUUGCUUUUGUUUUGUUUAUUUAAUGGACGGUAUUUAGCCAUGUAGAAUUGUUGAGUAGAACUUUCAGGGUUAAUGAGAGCUGUCAGGAGCAGUAUGACCUUAGAGGGAAAUGGCUCAUAUCAAGAGAGCAGAUGCCAAUCCCUUCUAGUACUCUCCCUGGGCAGAUGACCCACUCCCUAUUUAAAUCCUUGGCUUUUUUUCUUCUCUGAUAAGUGCCUGCAUAAUUGAUACUGUUGCCAGUGAUCAAACGCUGAAAUGACUAAAUGAUAGAGCUGAAAAAGACCCUAAGGUGUUAUCUAGUCCAAUUAUGCCCCCUAAACCCCAAAGAGUCUGAAAGAGUAAUGGGGCCCAUGAGCCAAGUUUAGUAUUUCAAAUGUCUCGUGGUAAUUCUAUAUUUGGAGACAAUAUUGUAAGGUUAAGCAAGCUGUGGAAGCAUGAGGUUGCUCUGCUUAUGGCUGGAGUUAUAAAUGUGAAAAUGGAUCAGUUAUUCCUAGUAACUGCUCUUGAGUAAGCAGAAUCUUUCAAAAUGUCAUAGCUUUGUUGUCUAAUACAUAAUGGCCACUCACCACAUACGGCUUUCAAGCACUUGAAUGUGACUGAUCCUUACUGAGUUACGCUGUGAGUAAGUGUGUAACCAAACGCAGCAAUUCUGCCUUUAAAAAAAACGAACCACCACCUGUUAAAAAGUGGUCUAGGAAGUAUAGCAAUGUCAUGGAGCUCUUGAGGAUGUGUAUAAUUGAAUAGAAAGGAAACCUAGCAUCUGGCG
rnacentral:lncRNA from 1 species